GACGAACGCUGGCGGCGUGCUUAACACAUGCAAGUCGAACGAAGUGGCGAACGGGUGAGUAACGCGUAAUCCACCUGCCCUUCAGAGGGGGACAAAAGUGGGAAACGACAGCUAAUACCGCAUACUGAAGGAGGGGAUUGCGGCUGAUUAGCUAGUGGGAGGGGUAACGGCCCACCAAGGCGAUGAUUAGGAGACGGUCUGCGAGGAUGAACGUCCACCUCGGGACUGGGACACGGACCAGACUCCUACGGGAGGCAGCAGUGGGGAAGCUUCCGCAAUGGACGAAAGUCUGACGGAGCAACGCCGCGUGAGUGAUGACGGCCUUCGGGUUGUAAAGCUCUGUUAAUCGGGACGCGGUACCGGAAUAGAAAGCAACGGCUAACUCCGUGCCAGCAGCCGCGGUAAUAC
rnacentral:rRNA from 1 species